GACGAACGCUGGCGGCGUGCUUAACACAUGCAAGUCGAACGGAAAGGCCCUGCUUUUUUGGGGUGCUCGAGUGGCGAACGGGUGAGUAACACGUGAGUAACCUGCCCUUGACUUUGGGAUAACUUCAGGAAACUGGGUCUAAUACCGGAUAGGAGCUCCUGCUGCAUGGUGGGGGUUGGAACGUUUCGGCGGUUGGGGAUGUACUCGCGGCUUAUCAGCUUGUUGGUGGGGUAGUGACUUACCAAGGAUUUGAAGGGUAGACGGCCUGAGAGGGUGACCGGCCAGAUAGGGACUGAGAUAGGGACCAGGCUGAUACGGGAGGCAGCAGUGGGGAAUAUAGAACAAUGGGCGGAAGAAUGAUGGAGCAACGACGCGUGCGGGAUGAAGGAAUUCGGGUUGUAAACCGAUUUCGUCUGUGACGAAGCGUGAGUGAAGGUAAUGGGUAAAGAAGCACCGGCUAACUACGU
rnacentral:rRNA from 1 species